rnacentral:rRNA from 1 species
CGGGCGCGAAGCCGGUCUAAGUCCCUUGGAACGGGGCGUCGCAGAGGGUGAGAAUCCCGUAUGUGACCGGCGAUCAAGCCUCUGUGAAACUCCUUCGACGAGUCGAGUUGUUUGGGAAUGCAGCUCAAAAUGGGUGGUAAAUUUCAUCUAAAGCUAAAUAUUGGCCAGAGACCGAUAGCGCACAAGUAGAGUGAUCGAAAGAUGAAAAGCACUUUGGAAAGAGAGUCAAAAAGUACGUGAAAUUGUUGAAAGGGAAGCGCUUGCAACCAGACCUGCCCGCGGGCGAUCAGCCGUCCCUUGGGGGCGGUGCACGCGCCCGCGAACAGGCCAGCAUCGGUUCGGGCGGCCGGAUAAAGGCCCGGGGAACGUAGCUCCUCUCGGGGAGUGUUAUAGCCCCGGGUGCAAUGCGGCCCGCCUGGACCGAGGACCGCGCUUCGGCUAGGAUGCUGGCGUAAUGGUCGUAAGCGGCCCGUCUUGAAACACGGACCAAGGAGUCUAACAUCCAUGCGAGUGUUUGGGUGUCAAACCCAUGCGCGUAAUGAAAGUGAACGGAGGUAGGAACCCAUAAGGGCGCACUAUCGACCGAUCCUGAUGUCUUCGGAUGGAUUUGAGUACGAGCAUGGCUGUUGGAACCCGAAAGAUGGUGAACUAUGCCUGAAUAGGGUGAAGCCAGAGGAAACUCUGGUGGAGGCUCGCAGCGGUUCUGACGUGCAAAUCGAUCGUCAAAUUUGGGUAUAGGGGCGAAAGUAAGUUGCGAAUCUU